CGGGAUGUGGCUCAGUUUGGUAGAGCGCUGCGUUCGGGACGCAGAGACCGUGGGUUCGAAUCCCGCCAUCCCGACCA
rnacentral:tRNA from 2 species